rnacentral:rRNA from 1 species
GACGUAGGGCGCGAGCGUUGUCCGGAUUUAUUGGGCGUAAAGAGCUCGUAGGCGGUGUGUCGCGUCGGCCGUGAAAACCUGCAGCUUAACUGUGGGCGUGCGGUCGAUACGGGCAUCACUGGAGUUCGGCAGGGGAGACUGGAAUUCCUGGUGUAGCGGUGAAAUGCGCAGAUAUCAGGAGGAACACCGGUGGCGAAGGCGGGUCUCUGGGCCGAUACUGACGCUGAGGAGCGAAAGCGUGGGGGAGCGAACAGG